rnacentral:misc_RNA from 1 species
AAAAAAAAGAGAGAGAGAGACAGAGACUUUAAAUCAACUAAAUGAACUUUAAAACUGACUAGUUGGACUUGAGCAUCUGAUAUCCUGCUUCAUCAAAGACAAAAUUAUAUGAUGAAACCAAUGUCCCGGUUUUAUCUUGUUUCUCAAUUUGAACUUGUCCACUCAUUAUAAUACUAACAAAAAGCUUUUCCAUUCAUAAAAUGGGACCUAACACAGUUAAAAUCUCUUCAAAAUCAAUCCAAGCUCAUAUGCAAACUUGUCGAGGCUACUUUAUCCACCAAUAUGAGAAAAUACCUUCAGCCAAGUAGCAGAGAGUUUCGGUCAGCGAAUUAAUCACCAAAUGUGAGAAAGAUUACUUACAGAAUCCACUCGAGGAAUCUUG